UCAAGGUUUUUAAACAGUUUGGUUAGUUUUCUGUUUGUAUGAGUGGUUUUUGGUAAUGUUUCUUUGUUCUCCUCUUUCGGUUUGGGCAGUGGUCUUCCGAGGUUGCGGUGGUUGCCGUGGCAGCGAACCCGGACACUAGUACCGCUGCACAGAGAGACUUUUGGAGCGAGCUGCGCCGGGACAGAGCCGCGGAACGUUGCGGGAUUUGGGGAAGGAGUGGCGCCGUGCAGGACCGGGCUGGUCCUAAGGACGCUGCGCUGUUUCCCUGGAACAACAUUGCGAGGGGAGACGGCAGGACCUGACCAGGGCGGAGAGUUCCGUCUCCCGCUCUGCAGAACACUAAGGCGAUAUCCAGCAUCGGGGCCGGCGCCGACUCGCUUCCCAACGGCUAGGCCAAUUGAUGAACACUACCGCCAACACCAUGACCCCAGACACCGGGCCUUAUCGUGCUGCAAUUUGGUGAAGUGUAGGAGAGGGGAGUGUGUGCAUGUUUGUGUUGCCGAAGACGGGACAGGACGAGUCCUCGGAACGCUGCGCCUCCUGAUGGGAAUGCCGGGAACGAGAACGAGAUGAGUGCUCUUCAAGGUCAAGCGAAUGGAAAUGUCACUCAGGGGCCUGGAAACAUCUGAGGGCAUGGAGUUGGACUCCCCUUCUCUAUUUGGCAGACGCUGUUAUCCAGAGUGACGUACAACAAAGUGCAUACCCAUAACCAGGGAUAAGUGCGCUGAAAGACCCUAGAGGGAGGUACCAUUUCAACUGCUACCUGCACAACAAAGAUAAGGGCCUAUUUUUUAUUUUUAUUUUAUUAUUAUUUUUUAAACAAACAAACAAACAAACUAAGCAAAAGUAUGACCAAACCCCUGAACUAGCCAAACACUGCUUACUUAGCCAAACUAAAAAUACUGAUAUACAAAAAAGUAAAUCACAGAAAGAUAAAGAUAAGUAAAGCAGAGCGCAGAUGGAGAAAAUCAUAUCUCCAGGUUCGUUACAAUGCCUAUAAAGGGAAUCUUCAGAAAUAAGUGCCAGACAAUCCCUUUUCUCUAAGAUUAUAAACAAUAACAUUAAUAACACAUGCAUCCUUUUUAACACUUUUGAUAAGCAAACUAAUCCACCAGCAUCCAUGGCUCAGGAAAUCUACCAGUAAAUGCAAUUAAUUUGCCUCCUUUUUUAGCAAUGAAAUAGGCAUAAGACACAAAUGUUUGAUUUAGAUGGAAAUUUUGCUUUUAAAAGAAGACAUGAAUGUCAUCACUCAACAGUGUAAAUUUUCUUUGAAAUAUUUUGUAUAGACUGUGCUUUUAAGUAAUAGCUUGUAAUGGUACUUUUGUCUUUGAAUGAAAGCCUUUUCUGCAGAGUUUCAGGUAAAACAGUCUCAGAACGUUAUGUAAAAAUAACGUUAAAAAAAAUAUUGUGUACACAUUAUGGAUGUUCCAUAUCCACUCUUCAUGAGGACAGCUACGGGAUGUCACCUGUUUUCCCCGAUAAAAUAACGACUAUGAUGCGAUUUAACUCAACAAAAUCAUGUUACAUCUUAAACCAUCUGCUUGUGCCCUCUGUUCUACUUGCUUGUAGCUUAACCCUCUUACAAUAAAUCACAUGCUGGUUAAGUGGGCCUGGUGUUUUAACAUUGUAUUUCUAUUAACUGUCAGUCUGCUAUUUAUUGUCGUAACACAUGGACAACUGAACUUCUUGCAAUACGUUGAAUUUCCAGCUUAAUAAAUAGUAUAAUCCAAAGACGGUUAUGCUUAUGAACACAUUUUCUGAUGCUUUCUUUCUUCUUACAAUAAUCAUGAAUCACCCUAUUUAUAAUGUAUGUGUGUGUGUAUAUUUGUGUUGGUUGAUUGGGGUGUUUUAACUCCCAAGUGUUCAGAAUUCACAGUACUGAGCAUUAUGCAGGGGCACUGAUCUGUUAAAACGGCUGGUUUGAGCAAAACAUUCAAAUGAAUCCUCACUUCUUUUACACUUGUCAUGCCAAAAAGGCAUUUUGAAUUUGAAAAUUGCGUGCAGUGUUAUUCAUGUUUGCCAUAUUAUUCUCAUUUAUUUUAAUAUAUACAUGAUGUUCUCGGUUCUAAUCAACAUUGUUUAUGAAACGGGAUGACCGUGUUUGAGCCAGAUGAGCAGGCCAGGAAAUUCCCACUCCGAGGCCUUGCAAUAAGGAGGAAGAGAGCAGGUUUCACUGAAUGAAGUGCUUGCCAAGUUUGCACAGGUUAAAGUAACUGUGAAGAUCACUAAAUAAUUAUUUUUAGUAUGGUGUACUCUUUCUGCAGUAAUAAAGACCUUUAUAACUGGAUCUAAUAUCAUGUGUUUUCCUGACUGGGGUUGCCUCAAGACAUGGGUGGAUAUUUCCAUCGCAACCCGACAAGCGGAUGAGAAUUCAAGGGCCCUGCAACUCCCAGGCCCGUGGAGGAACUCUGAAGGGUUUACAUGAUCUUCCA